UACGUAGGGACCAAGCGUUGUUCGGAUUUACUGGGCGUAAAGGGCGCGUAGGCGGCGUGUUAAGUCACUUGUGAAAUCUCUGAGCUUAACUCAGAACGGUCAAGUGAUACUGAUGUGCUAGAGUGCAGAAGGGGCAACCGGAAUUCUUGGUGUAGCGGUGAAAUGCGUAGAUAUCAAGAGGAACACCUGAGGUGAAGACGGGUUGCUGGGCUGGCACUGACGCUCAGGCACGAAAGCAUGGGGAGCAAAAGGG
rnacentral:rRNA from 1 species